UCGAACGGUAGAGGAGCAAUCCUCGAGAGUGGCGAACGGGUGAGUAAUACAUCGGAACGUGCCCAGUCGUGGGGGAUAACGUAGCGAAAGCUACGCUAAUACCGCAUACGACCUGAGGGUGAAAGCGGGGGACCGCAAGGCCUCGCGCGAUUGGAGCGGCCGAUGGCAGAUUAGGUAGUUGGUGGGGUAAAGGCCCACCAAGCCUGCGAUCUGUAGCUGGUCUGAGAGGACGACCAGCCACACUGGGACUGAGACACGGCCCAGACUCCUACGGGAGGCAGCAGUGGGGAAUUUUGGACAAUGGGCGAAAGCCUGAUCCAGCCAUACCGCGUGCGGGAAGAAGGCCUUCGGGUUGUAAACCGCUUUUGUCAGGGAAGAAAUGCUCCGGGCUAAUACCCUGGGGUGAUGACGGUACCUGAAGAAUAAGCACCGGCUAACUACGUGCCAGCAGCCGCGGUAAUACGUAGGGUGCAAGCGUUAAUCGGAAUUACUGGGCGUAAAGCGUGCGCAGGCGGUUCUAUAAGACAGAUGUGAAAUCCCCGGGCUCAACCUGGGAACUGCAUUUGUGACUGUAGAGCUAGAGUACGGUAGAGGGGGAUGGAAUUCCGCGUGUAGCAGUGAAAUGCGUAGAUAUGCGGAGGAACACCGAUGGCGAAGGCAAUCCCCUGGACCUGUACUGACGCUCAUGCACGAAAGCGUGGGGAGCAGACAGGAUUAGAUACCCUGGUAGUCCACGCCCUAAACGAUGUCAACUGGUUGUUGGGAGGGUUUCUUCUCAGUAACGAAGCUAACGCGUGAAGUUGACCGCCUGGGGAGUACGGCCGCAAGG
rnacentral:rRNA from 1 species